rnacentral:rRNA from 1 species
AUUGAACGCUGGCGGCAUGCCUUACACAUGCAAGUCGAACGGCAGCACGGGAGCAAUCCUGGUGGCGAGUGGCGAACGGGUGAGUAAUAUAUCGGAACGUGCCCAGUCGUGGGGAUAACGUAGCGAAAGCUACGCUAAUACCGCAUACGAUCUAUGGAUGAAAGCGGGGGAUCGCAAGACCUCGCGCGAUUGGAGCGGCCGAUAUCAGAUUAGGUAGUUGGUGAGGUAAAGGCUCACCAAGCCGACGAUCUGUAGCUGGUCUGAGAGGACGACCAGCCGCACUGGGACUGAGACACGGCCCAGACUCCUACGGGAGGCAGCAGUGGGGAAUUUUGGACAAUGGGCGCAAGCCUGAUCCAGCAAUGCCGCGUGCAGGAUGAAGGCCUUCGGUUGUAACUGCUUUGUACGGUAACGAAACGGUAGAGCUCUAAUACAGUUUGCUAAUGACGGUACCGUAAGAA